CACAUGCAAGUCGAACGGUGAACACGGAGCUUGCUCUGUGGGAUCAGUGGCGAACGGGUGAGUAACACGUGAGCAACCUGCCCCUGACUCUGGGAUAAGCGCUGGAAACGGCGUCUAAUACUGGAUAUGUGACGUGACCGCAUGGUCUGCGUCUGGAAAGAAUUUCGGUUGGGGAUGGGCUCGCGGCCUAUCAGCUUGUUGGUGAGGUAAUGGCUCACCAAGGCGUCGACGGGUAGCCGGCCUGAGAGGGUGACCGGCCACACUGGGACUGAGACACGGCCCAGACUCCUACGGGAGGCAGCAGUGGGGAAUAUUGCACAAUGGGCGCAAGCCUGAUGCAGCAACGCCGCGUGAGGGACGACGGCCUUCGGGUUGUAAACCUCUUUUAGCAGGGAAGAAGCGAAAGUGACGGUACCUGCAGAAAAAGCGCCGGCUAACUACGUGCCAGCAGCCGCGGUAAUACGUAGGGCGCAAGCGUUAUCCGGAAUUAUUGGGCGUAAA
rnacentral:rRNA from 1 species